rnacentral:rRNA from 1 species
UACGGGGGGAGCAAGCGUUGUUCGGAUUUACUGGGCGUAAAGGGCGCGUAGGCGGCCACCGCAAGUCAGUUGUGAAAUCUCUGGGCUUAACCCAGAAAGGUCAACUGAUACUGCGGGGCUAGAGUGCAGAAGGGGCAACUGGAAUUCUCGGUGUAGCGGUGAAAUGCGUAGAUAUCAAGAGGAACACCUGAGGUGAAGACGGGUUGCUGGGCCAACACUGACGCUGAUGCGCGAAAGCCAGGGGAGCAAACGGG